rnacentral:rRNA from 1 species
GAGUUUGAUCCUGGUUCAGAUUGAACGCUGGCGGCAUGCCUUACACAUGCAAGUCGAACGGCAGCAUGAUCUAGCUUGCUAGAUUGAUGGCGAGUGGCGAACGGGUGAGUAAUACAUCGGAACGUGCCCCGUAGUGGGGGAUAACUAGUCGAAAGAUUAGCUAAUACCGCAUACGACCUGAGGGUGAAAGUGGGGGACCGCAAGGCCUCAUGCUAUAGGAGCGGCCGAUGUCUGAUUAGCUAGUUGGUGGGGUAAAGGCCCACCAAGGCGACGAUCAGUAGCUGGUCUGAGAGGACGAUCAGCCACACUGGGACUGAGACACGGCCCAGACUCCUACGGGAGGCAGCAGUGGGGAAUUUUGGACAAUGGGCGAAAGCCUGAUCCAGCAAUGCCGCGUGUGUGAAGAAGGCCUUCGGGUUGUAAAGCACUUUUGUCCGGAAAGAAAUGGCUCUGGUUAAUACCUGGGGUCGAUGACGGUACCGGAAGAAUAAGGACCGGCUAACUACGUGCCAGCAGCCGCGGUAAUACGUAGGGUCCAAGCGUUAAUCGGAAUUACUGGGCGUAAAGCGUGCGCAGGCGGUUGUGCAAGACCGAUGUGAAAUCCCCGAGCUUAACUUGGGAAUUGCAUUGGUGACUGCACGGCUAGAGUGUGUCAGAGGGGGGUAGAAUUCCACGUGUAGCAGUGAAAUGCGUAGAGAUGUGGAGGAAUACCGAUGGCGAAGGCAGCCCCCUGGGAUAACACUGACGCUCAUGCACGAAAGCGUGGGGAGCAAACAGGAUUAGAUACCCUGGUAGUCCACGCCCUAAACGAUGUCAACUAGUUGUUGGGGAUUCAUUUCCUUAGUAACGUAGCUAACGCGUGAAGUUGACCGCCUGG